rnacentral:rRNA from 1 species
UACGUAGGGUGCAAGCGUUGUCCGGAAUUAUUGGGCGUAAAGAGCUCGUAGGCGGUUUGUCGCGUCUGCUGUGAAAACUCAGGGCUUAACCCUGAGCCUGCAGUGGGUACGGGCAGACUAGAGUGUGGUAGGGGAGAUCGGAAUUGCCUGGUGUAGCGGUGGAAUGCGCAGGAAUAUCGAGGAGGAACACCGGUGGCGAAGGCGGAUCUCUGGGCCAGUAACUGACGCUGAGGAGCGAAAGCAUGGGGAGCGAACAGG